rnacentral:rRNA from 1 species
UACGAAGGGGGCUAGCGUUGUUCGGAAUUACUGGGCGUAAAGCGCGCGUAGGCGGUGAUCUUUGUCAGAGGUGAAAUCCCGAGGCUCAACUUCGGAAUUGCCUUUGAAACGGGAUCGCUUGAGUCCGAGAGAGGAUGGCGGAAUUCCUAGUGUAGAGGUGAAAUUCGUAGAUAUUAGGAAGAACACCGGUGGCGAAGGCGGCUCACUGGCCCGGUACUGACGCUGAGGUGCGAAAGCGUGGGGAGCAAACAGG